AUGCAAUUCCCACUGGUAAAGUUUCAAUCUUUCAGAGGUUUCAUUGAGGCCAAGGCAUCACUUAAGUCAAAGUCUUACGUUAAAAGGUAAAGCCCCACUGAGCUGUUAGGUAUUUUUCAGAGGCAACCUGGCCUCACGUGAUAGCUCAUCGAAGUGGCUUGUCACAUGCAGGAAUUUAUAGUCGUAGUCAUAUAAGCUAAGCGCAUGUUUCGAAAUGUGGGGGGGGAAACCGGAGGACCCGUAUAAAAAUCCAUGCGACCAUGGGGACAAGAGACAUGCAAACUCCAAAUAUACAUUAGGGUCGGGAUCGAACCCACGACUUCCUGCAUACCAGGCGAGGGACAUAACAUCUUUCCAUCACGGCACUGAAGGUGGAGAUUAUAAAGUAAAAUUUCAGUUUAGGUGAAAAGUUACAGGGAAAAUCAAAGCUUUAGCUGACAGUUUUACACAAAGUAAAAAUCUGCCGGAUUUGCAUAUUGCCCUCUCUUAUAUUAAGGUGGAACAGGUAGAGAUCACUUUUCCACUUUUGUUUGCACUGAAUCACAGCAUGGUAUAUACAUCUUGCCUGUACCCUCCCUCCCCACCCUGUAAA